rnacentral:rRNA from 1 species
UACGAAGGGAGCUAGCGUUGUUCGGAAUCACUGGGCGUAAAGCGCACGUAGGCGGAUGUGCCAGUCAGGGGUGAAAUCCCGGAGCUCAACUCCGGAACUGCCAUUGAAACUGUUAGACUUGAGGAUGAGAGAGGUGAGUGGAAUUCCCAGUGUAGAGGUGAAAUUCGUAGAUAUUGGGAAGAACACCGGUGGCGAAGGCGGCUCACUGGCUCAUUACUGACGCUCAGGCGCGAUAGCGUGGGGAUCAAACAGG